GUUAUAGUAGUUUAAAUUAAAACCCUGGUCUUGUAAACCAAAAUUAGAUUAUAUCUCUAUAACU
rnacentral:tRNA from 1 species